rnacentral:rRNA from 1 species
CCUACGGGAGGCAGCAGUAGGGAAUAUUGCUCAAUGGGGGAAACCCUGAAGCAGCAACGCCGCGUGGAGGAUGAAGGUUUUCGGAUUGUAAACUCCUUUUGUUAGAGAAGAUAAUGACGGUAUCUAACGAAUACUCACCGGCUAACUCCGUGCCAGCAGCCGCGGUACUACGGAGGGUGCAAGCGUUACUCGGAAUCACUGGGCGUAAAGAGCGCGUAGGCGGGAGAACAAGUCAGAUGUGAAAUCCUAUGGCUUAACCAUAGAACUGCAGUUGAAACUGUUAUUCUAGAGUUUGGGAGCGGUAGGUGGAAUUCUUGGUGUAGGGGUAAAAUCCGUAGAGAUCAAGAGGAAUACUCAUUGCGAAGGCGACCUGCUAGAACAUAACUGACGCUGAUGCGCGAAAGCGUGGGGAGCAAACAGGAUUAGAUACCCGAGUAGUC